GGGCACUUAGCACAGUGGUAGCGCGCUUGCUUUGCAUGUUGAAUCAUCCAUUGCACGAGGCCGUGGGUUCAAUCCCCACAGUGUCCA